GACGAACGUUGGCGGCGUGCUUAACACAUGCAAGUCGAACGGAAAGGCCCUGCUUUUGUGGGGUGCUCGAGUGGCGAACGGGUGGGUAACACGUGAGUAACCUGCCCUUGACUUUGGGAUAACUUCAGGAAACUGGGGCUAAUACCGGAUAGGAGCUCCUGCUGCAUGGUGGGGGUUGGAAAGUUUCGGCGGUUGGGGAUGGACUCGCGGCUUAUCAGCUUGUUGGUGGGGUAGUGGCUUACCAAGGCUUUGACGGGUAGCCGGCCUGAGAGGGUGACCGGCCACAUUGGGACUGAGAUACGGCCCAGACUCCUACGGGAGGCAGCAGUGGGGAAUAUUGCACAAUGGGCGGAAGCCUGAUGCAGCAACGCCGCGUGCGGGAUGACGGCCUUCGGGUUGUAAACCGCUUUCGCCUGUGACGAAGCGUGAGUGACGGUAAUGGGUAAAGAAGCACCGGCUAACUACGUG
rnacentral:rRNA from 1 species